UACAGAGGUCUCAAGCGUUGUUCGGAUUCAUUGGGCGUAAAGGGCGCGUAGGCGGUUCGGCAAGUCGGGUGUGAAAACUCCAGGCUCAACCUGGAGACGCCACCCGAUACUGCUGUGACUCGAGUCCGGUAGGGGACCACGGAAUUCCUGGUGUAGCGGUGAAAUGCGCAGAUAUCAGGAGGAACACCGGUGGCGAAGGCGGUGGUCUGGGCCGGCACUGACGCUGAGGAGCGAAAGCGUGGGGAGCGAACAGG
rnacentral:rRNA from 1 species